rnacentral:ncRNA from 1 species
GGAAAAGCAUUGAAAAGGAAAAGUAAAUUGGAUCAGCAUUUUGUAGAGAGCCUCUGUUGGUGGAAAUGAGGUAAAUGAACCCUUUUGAAAAUGACCUUUGAGCUUCGUACCGAAAGCUUUUUAGCAAGUAGAUUACGACGAGAUGGGCACUCGUUACAACAGCGGCAGUAUCUCUCAUUUUGAAUGGAGACGUACUGAUGGAGACAAAUAGUGUGAGCUAUUUGUAAAUAUAGGUGGUAACACGGGUAUACUCGUCCUAAUC